AUGAACCAAACGUCGAGUUAAGGGGCCUAAAUGAAUGCUCAUUCAGAUCCCAUCGAAAGGUGUUGGUUGCUAUAGACAGCAGGACGGUGGCCAUGGAAGUUGGAAUCCGCUAAGGAGUGUGUAACAACUCACCUGCCGAAGCAACUAGCCCUUAAAAUGGUAUGGCGCUCAAGCAUUCUCCCGAUACUCGACCGCCGUGGCACUACCGGUCCGCCGCAAUGCCUCCGGGUUUUUGGCGGGUCUCGAAGCCACGGUGAGUAGGAGGGUCGCGGUGGUGUGCGCUGAAGGGUUCGGCGUGAGCCGGCCUGGAGCCUCCACUGGUGCAGAUCUUGGUGGUAGUAGCAAAUAGUCGAGAGAGAGUCCCUUGAAGGCCGAAGUGGAGAAGGGUUCCA
rnacentral:rRNA from 2 species